rnacentral:rRNA from 1 species
UACGAAGGAUCCAAGCGUUAUCCGGAUUUAUUGGGUUUAAAGGGCGCGUAGGCGGGAUGGCAAGUCGGUCGUGAAAUCCCUCGGCUCAACCGAGGAACGUCGAUCGAUACUGCUGUUCUUGAGGAUUGCAGAGGAGACUGGAAUUCCCGGUGUAGCGGUGAAAUGUGUAGAGAUCGGGAGGAACACCGGUGGCGAAGGCGGGUCUCUGGGCAAUUCCUGACGCUGAGGCGCGAAAGCGUGGGGAGCAAACGGG